UUAAGGGUGCAGGGCGGAUGCCUUGGCACUAGGAGCCGAUGAAGGACGUGAUAAGCUGCGAUAAGCUUCGGGGAGUUGCACGUAAACUUUGAUCCGAAGAUUUCCGAAUGAGGAAACUCACUUAGAGUAAUGUCUAAGUAUCAUUAAGUGAAUACAUAGCUUAAUGAGGGGAACUCAGGGAACUGAAACAUCUAAGUACCUGAAGGAAGAGAAAGAAAUUCGAUUCCGUAAGUAGCGGCGAGCGAACGCGGAUUAGCCCAAACCAAUAAAGUUUUCUUUGUUGGGGUUGCGGACAUAUCAUAACGAAGAGGUAUCGUAAUUGAAGAGGUUUGGAAAGACCCACCACAGAAGGUAAUAGUCCUGUAUGUUAAACGAGAAGACUUCAGAUAUGAUCCAGAGUACCACGGGACACGUGAAACCCUGUGGGAAGCAGGAGGGACCACCCUCCAAGGCUAAAUACUACCUAGUGACCGAUAGCGUAUAGUACCGUGAGGGAAAGGUGAAAAGAACCCCGGGAGGGGAGUGAAAUAGAACCUGAAACCCUGCACUUACAAGCUGUGGAAGCACAUUUCUUGUGUGACCGCGUACUUUUUGUAGAACGGGCCAACGAGUUACGUUAAGUAGCAAGGUUAAGCACUUAAGGUGCGGAGCCGUAGCGAAAGCGAGUUUUAACUGAGCGUUCAGUUACUUGACGUAGACCCGAAACCGGGCGACCUACCCAUGAGCAGGAUGAAGCGAAAGUAAAAUUUCGUGGAGGUCCGAACCCACGAGCGUUGAAAAGCUCGGGGAUGACUUGUGGGUAGCGGUGAAAUUCCAAUCGAGCCCGGAGAUAGCUGGUUCUCCCCGAAAUAGCUUUAGGGCUAGCCUCAAGGUGAGAGAUACGGAGGUAGAGCACUGAAUGUCCUAGGGGGUAUUGCACCUACCGAAGACUAUCAAACUCCGAAUGCCGUCAUCUUAUACUUGGGAGUCAGACUGUGGGUGAUAAGAUUCAUAGUCGAAAGGGCAACAGCCCAGAUCGUCAGCUAAGGUCCCUAAAUGUAAGUUAAGUGGUAAAGGAUGUGGGAUUGCACAGACAACCAGGAUGUUGGCUUAGAAGCAGCCACUCAUUCAAAGAGUGCGUAAUAGCUCACUGGUCGAGUGAUCCUGCGCCGAAGAUUUCCGGGGCUAAAACUUACUACCGAAGCUACGGCAUCAUUAUGAUGGGUAGGGGAGCUUCCCAUACGGGUUGAAGCAUGACCGUAAGGACAUGUGGACAGUAUGGGAGUGAGAAUGUUGGCAUGAGUAGCGAGAUGUGGGUGAGAAUCCCACAGGCCGUAAACCCAAGGUUUCCAGGGGAAGGUUCGUCCGCCCUGGGUUAGUCGGGACCUAAGCUGAGGCCGAAAGGCGUAGGUGAUGGACAACAGGUUGAUAUUCCUGUACUACCGAUAACCGUUUGAGAGAAGGGAUGACACAGUAGGAUAAGCUAAGCACACUGUUGGUUAUGUGUGCCCAAGCAUUGAGGCAGUCAAAGCAGGCAAAUCCGCUUUGAUAAUGCUGGGAUGUGAUGGGGAGCGAAAUUUAGUAGCGAAGUAGCUGAUUUCACACUGUCAAGAAAAGUCUCUAUCGAGGUUAAAGGUACCCGUACCGCAAACCGACACAGGUGGGUGAGGAGAGUAUCCUAAGGCCAGCGAGAGAACUGUUGUUAAGGAACUCGGCAAAAUGACCCCGUAACUUAGGGAUAAGGGGUGCCACCAUCCGGUGGCCGCAGAGAAUAGGCCCAAGCGACUGUUUACCAAAAACAUAGGUUUCUGCUAAGUCGCAAGACGAUGUAUAGGAGCUGACGCCUGCCCGGUGCUGGAAGGUUAAGGGGAUCUGUUAGAGCAAUCGAAGCAGUGAACUUAAGCCCCAGUAAACGGCGGCCGUAACUAUAACGGUCCUAAGGUAGCGAAAUUCCUUGUCGGGUAAGUUCCGACCCGCACGAAAGGCGUAACGAUUUGGGCACUGUCUCAACAACAGACUCGGUGAAAUUGUAAUUCCGGUGAAGAUGCCGGAUACCUGCGACAGGACGGAAAGACCCCAUGGAGCUUUACUGUAGCUUGACAUUGGGUCUUGGUACUACAUGUACAGGAUAGGUGGGAGGCUUUGAAACCAGGACGCCAGUUUUGGCGGAGCCAUCCUUGGGAUACCACCCUUGUAGUACUGGGACUCUAACCAUAGGCCAUGAAUCUGGUCUUGGGACACUGUCAGGUGGGCAGUUUGACUGGGGCGGUCGCCUCCCAAAAGGUAACGGAGGCGCUCAAAGGUUCUCUCAGUACGGUCGGAAAUCGUACGUAGAGUGUAAAGGCAAAAGAGAGCUUGAUUGCAAGACAUACAGGUCGAGCAAGGAUGAAAAUCGGACUUAGUGAUCCGGUGGUUCUGCGUGGAAGGGCCAUCGCUCAACGGAUAAAAGCUACCCUGGGGAUAACAGGCUUAUCUCCCCCAAGAGUCCACAUCGACGGGGAGGUUUGGCACCUCGAUGUCGGCUCAUCACAUCCUGGGGCUGUAGUAGGUCCCAAGGGUUGGGCUGUUCGCCCAUUAAAGUGGUACGCGAGCUGGGUUCAGAACGUCGUGAGACAGUUCGGUCCCUAUCCGUCGCAGGCGUAGGAAAUUUGAGAAGACCUGUCCUUAGUACGAGAGGACCGGGAUGGACGUACCUCUGGUGUACCAGUUGUUCUGCCAAGGGCAUGGCUGGGUAGCUAUGUACGGAAUGGAUAAGCGCUGAAAGCAUCUAAGCGCGAAGCCAACUUCAAGAUAAGAUUUCCCACCGCAAGGGUAAGACCCCAGAAAGACUAUCUGGUUGAUAGGUCGAAGGUGUAAGUGCAGCAAUGUAUUUAGCUUAUCGAUACUAAUAGGUCGAGGACUUGACC
rnacentral:rRNA from 1 species